ACUCCUACGGGAGGCAGCAGUGGGAAUAUUGGACAAUGGGGGAAACCCUAGCAUCCAGCCAUGCCGCGUGUGUGAAGAAGGCCUUCGGGUUGUAAAGCACUUUCAGUGGGGAGGAAAGGUUGUUGGUUAAUACCUAACAGCUGUGACGUUACCCACAGAAGAAGCACCGGCUAACUCCGUGCCAGCAGCCGCGGUAAUACGGAGGGUGCAAGCGUUAAUCGGAAUUACUGGGCGUAAAGCGUGCGCAGGCGGUCUGUUAAGCGAGAUGUGAAAG
rnacentral:rRNA from 1 species